rnacentral:rRNA from 1 species
AACGAACGCUGGCGGCGUGCUUAACACAUGCAAGUCGAACGCGAAAGGGACUUCGGUCCUGAGUAAAGUGGCGCACGGGUGAGUAACGCGUAGAUAACCUGUCUUCGUGUCUGGAAUAAUACGCCGAAAGGUGUACUAAUACCGGAUAUUCUUGCUUUAUAUAAGUUUUGCAAGCAAAGGUGGCCUCUGCAUAUGCUACCGCAUGAAGAGGGGUCUGCGUACCAUUAGCUAGUAGGUAGGGUAAUGGCCUACCUAGGCGACGAUGGUUAGCGGGUCUGAGAGGAUGAUCCGCCACACUGGCACUGGAACACGGGCCAGACUCCUACGGGAGGCAG